GUACACGGUGGAUGCCCUGGCAGUCAGAGGCGAUGAAGGACGUGCUAAUCUGCGAAAAGCGUCGGUAAGGUGAUAUGAACCGUUAUAACCGGCGAUGUCCGAAUGGGGAAACCCAGUGUGAUUCGUCACACUAUCGUUAACUGAAUACAUAGGUUAACGAGGCGAACCGGGGGAACUGAAACAUCUAAGUACCCCGAGGAAAAGAAAUCAACCGAGAUUCCCCCAGUAGCGGCGAGCGAACGGGGA
rnacentral:rRNA from 1 species